rnacentral:rRNA from 1 species
GGCUAACGCUGGCGGCGUGUCUUAGCCAUGCAAGUCGAGCGGACUUAUGGGGUAACUUAUAAGUCAGCGGCGGACGGCGGAGUAACACGUAGCUAACCUACCCUCUGGACGGGGAUAACCUACCGAAAGGUGGGCUAAUACCCGAUGUAGUCAUCCUGUAUAGGGGUGAUGAAAGGUGGGCUUCUGUUUACAAGCUCAUGCUGGAGGAGGGGGCUGCGGCCUAUCAGGUAGUUGGUAGGGUAAUAGCCUACCAAGCCGAUGACGGGUAGCCGGCCUGAGAGGGUGACCGGGCCCCGAGGGGCACUGAGAUACGGGUCCCACUCCUACGGGAGGCAGCAGGCUAGAAAUUUGGGCAAUGGGGGAAACCCUGACCCAGUGACGCCGCGUGCAGGAAGGAGCCCUUCGGGGUGUAAACUGCUGUCGUGUAGGGAGAAGGGUACUAAGGUGAACAAUCUUAGUACUUGACGGUACUACAGGAGGAAGCCCAGGCUAACCUCGUG